rnacentral:rRNA from 1 species
UACGGAAGGGGCAAGCGUUGUUCGGAAUCAUUGGGCGUAAAGGGCGCGUAGGUGGCUCUGUGUGUCUACCGUGAAAGCGUACGGCUCAACCGUAUUUUGUCGGUAGAAACUGCAGGACUUGAGGCUGGGAGGGGCUGGUGGAAUUCCCUGUGUAGCGGUGAAAUGCGCAGAUAUCGGGAGGAACACCGGUGGCGAAGGCGGUUCUCUGGGCCUUACCUGACGCUGAGGAGCGAAAGCGUGGGGAGCGAACAGG